rnacentral:rRNA from 1 species
CACGUAGGGCGCAAGCGUUGUCCGGAAUUAUUGGGCGUAAAGAGCUCGUAGGCGGUCUGUUGCGUCCGCUGUGAAAACCCAGGGCUUAACCCUGGGCUGGCAGUGGAUACGGACAGACUAGAGGUAGGUAGGGGAGAAUGGAAUUCCCGGUGUAGCGGUGAAAUGCGCAGAUAUCGGGAGGAACACCGGUGGCGAAGGCGGUUCUCUGGGCCUUACCUGACGCUGAGGAGCGAAGGCCAGGGGAGCAAACGGG